rnacentral:lncRNA from 1 species
UUGUCUUACAGGCAGCCAUUAGGCUGCAGCUUGCGUGCACAUUCUUCAGCACCCACAUCAGUGGUGCCUGUGCAUGUCAAUCUGAGUCUCAGAUCACUAUGCAGGCAAUAGUAAAAGAAAACUGGGAUGUUUAAAUGACAUUCUGGUGACUUUCAAUCACAGUAUUCAAAAGAGCACAGAUUCUAAGCUGAAAUUCUGCUUUUCAAAAUUGUGUUGCUUGGCAGUUACGACCAGGUUAUAAUCUUAGGAUGAAAAAAUGGGCACUCCUUUUGGAAAGACCUGGCAUAAAUCACUGAGAGCUGUGCCCUGUGCAACUGUGUUCAUAAAAAAUGGGGGUUCAUUUUAGGAUUAAUCAGGUCGAUCAUUCUCAUAUUAGCUAAGAAUUCCAUAAUGUGCAAGAAAAAGAAUUACUUUAUUAAGAGGAUUUUUAUCACAGCUUUUCUACAAGGAGACAAAUUGCAC